rnacentral:lncRNA from 1 species
UUCACAUUUCCGAAGCAUGGCACCAACAUUUAUUAACCCUCACAACAUCCCUGUGAGGUAGGUCAACAUGUCCUUUAUAGCAGAGAAUGGAGCUACAAGGCUAGAGGAUCUCGCCCAUACCGGAUUGAGGAGGCUUCAAGAGCAGCUGGUGAGGGCCGGACCGAAUCCAGAAGGGCGGGCCCUUGGUCCUGCGCUCACCCACGCAGGUGUAUUUCUAUACAUACCGCGUGGGUGUAUUUCUACCAAUGAAGGUCACAUACAGGAAGGAAUGAAGGACCAACACGGUGUCCAGGCUGACAAUAGGAAAACGGAGGUUCGGAUGGCUCGGGGAAACAUGUCAAUCACGAGAGCAAGCACGCUAGCCAGCACAGGGAGGCCGAGAGAAGAUGUGCACUGAGAGAGACUGGGUCUGGGUCUUGGCCUGCAAGGUGGACCCUGACCCCGGAAUCUUCAGGACGGUUUAGAGAAAUGUAAACAAACUAGGAACCCGUUCCAGUGGUGAACGGCCCAAGUCCCCGUGAUUUCCUGCCAACAGCCAGCUUUGGCAUCUGUGGGUUGGGUGAACUGAGGAUGGCAGCCCAUAGGGGUCAGUGCUUUGAGCAAGGAGUCCGUCCCGUUACUGUCCCGGUGGAUGAAAUGUAAACAAACUAGAAACCCGUUCUGGGGUGACUGGCUGAAAUCACUGUGGUUUCAAAUAGAGUUAAAAAAAGAUAAGAGAAGUCCAU